UGAUAGUUUAACAAAAACAUUUUUUUAUUUAAUGAGAUAAGGCCUGCCCAGUGAUAAAUUAAACGGCUGCGGUAUUUUGACCGUGCUAAGGUAGCAUAAUCAUUUGGUUUUUAAUUGAAAUCUGGAAUGAAGGGUUUUACAGUAGUUAUUGUCUUGAUUUUGGAUUUUGAAUUUUUGUUUUAAAUUAAAAUAUUUAGAUAAAUUAGAGGGACGAUAAGACCCUAAAAGCUUUACUUUAUUUUAUGUGGUUUAGAUUAAAAUGUUAGAUUGGCUGGGGUAGUUGUUUUAUAUUGACUAAGAUUUAAUAAAGCUAUAAAGGUUGAUGGUCCUUAAAAUUAAGAUAGUUAGAUGGAGUUACUUUAGGGAUAACAGCGUAAUAACUUUGGAGAGGUCAUAUUUAUGGGGUUGAUUGCGACCUCGAUGUUGAAUUAAAUUAAAAACUACAGCGCAGAAUAGGUAGGGUUAGGUUUGUUCAGCCUUUAUAUAUUUACAUGAUUUGAGUUCAAAUCGGUUUAAGCCAGAUUGGUUUCUAUCUUCUAUGAAAAAGUAGCUGUUUUAGUACGAGAGGACCAAUUAG
rnacentral:rRNA from 1 species